GAGGUUGUGGCUUAGUGGUAAGAGCACCUGCCUAGCAUGUGAGAGGCACUGAGUUCAAUCCUCAGCACCACA
rnacentral:tRNA from 1 species